rnacentral:rRNA from 1 species
CCUACGGGAGGCAGCAGUGGGGAAUAUUGGACAAUGGGGGCAACCCUGAUCCAGCCAUGCCGCGUGUGUGAAGAAGGCCCUCGGGUUGUAAAGCACUUUCAGUGAGGAAGAACGCCUGGUGGUUAAUACCCAUCAGGAAAGACAUCACUCACAGAAGAAGCACCGGCUAACUCCGUGCCAGCAGCCGCGGUAAUACGGAGGGUGCGAGCGUUAAUCGGAAUUACUGGGCGUAAAGCGCGCGUAGGUGGCUUGAUAAGCCGGUUGUGAAAGCCCCGGGCUCAACCUGGGAACGGCAUCCGGAACUGUCAAGCUAGAGUGCAGGAGAGGAAGGUAGAAUUCCCGGUGUAGCGGUGAAAUGCGUAGAGAUCGGGAGGAAUACCAGUGGCGAAGGCGGCCUUCUGGACUGACACUGACACUGAGGUGCGAAAGCGUGGGUAGCAAACAGGAUUAGAUACCCUGGUAGU